rnacentral:lncRNA from 1 species
ACUUGCAGCCAAUAUAAAGAGAAGGAGAUUUUUCUUCCAAAUGCUAUAGUUGCACUUCACAUCAUUGGGAUCGUGGAUGUUGAUACCAAUUGGAUGUGCUCCCGUGUUGUCCCAAGUGCAGCAAUUUCUCGCUGAUGCAUCAGGCAAAGAUUUUUUUACCCAAAAGGCAAAGAUACAUAGCUAGCAGUUUAUCAGCGGAUGACUCUUGCUUUGUUGAUUGUUGUGCUUAAUCAAUAUCCUUACAGGUAACUCACAUGCCACCAUGAUCCAGUAUGAUAUUUGUUCAAAUGUAUAACAUACAUAUCUAUUUUUUCUUUCUAUGCUUGCACAUCUCCGAAGUCUAGACCAGAAUGCUGCUUUUAAUUAUGUUGGCUAUGCAUGCAUGUAAUGUGUGUUGUACAACUAUUUAGUAAAGCGUUCAUUGUAUUCUUUGCACAUGCCAUUUCCAACCUCUUCGAAAGCAUAUAUGUCAACCUGCUACUAAUCCAUACGUUUUAUAUACUUACAUUACUAUAUUUAUAAUUUAUUAUUAUUUUGGAACAGUUUCUGGGUAUAUCAGGACGUACCAAGUCAGUUUGAUAGAACUGAUUUGUGAACCCAGAUUAAUUGCAGAGCCAUACCUAAUUUUCAAAAGACUUGAGGGCUUUAAUAGACAGUGGGGCCUUUUUCCUCUAAUCAAUGUAGAAGUAUUUGAUCUUGCCUCAAAAAAGGUUACAUUGCCCUAGAUUAUAUGUGAAAAUUUAGUUAGCUUAUUUGUGUAUAAAUUAUGAAGAAUAAAACUAUGUUAUAAUCUGAAAAGAAAAUGUAUAGAGACAAGUAGAAAGUAAUGUGGAUUCGAACUACCCCGGUUAUAUAUUAAGACUAUUACAUCAUUGACCUUGCCGCGAACUCUGGAUAUUCUCGACUCUAGGUCCACAAAGUUCGUGUAUGCCAUACCUCUAAAAGUAAUGUUAGUGUUAUGAUUCAUUAGUAAAGCUUCUCCUCUAUUCAGAUUGAAUCUGAGAAGCCUAACAGCGAGCAAAUUCCUCUGUGUUGCUUCAGUUAUAUGGCUCGAGCUGGCCAAACCUGAAAACUUCAGUGAAGAGUGAAAGUACAUCUAAAGUACUUUCUGUUACCUACAAUCCUAUUACUUGAUUUUUAUGCUACUGUGCGUAUGGGUGAAUCUGCAAGAUGAUGCAAAAAUUUGCUUGCAGAUAGCAUGUGUGUAUGUGUACAGAUAUGCAUGUUGUAUGUUUAUAUCAAUUUUGCAACAUUGAUAUUUGUUCAGAUGGUUCUAAAUAGUUCUUCAGUGAAGAUUAAGAGUACAUCUACAUUACAUUUUGUUGCCUACCCUAUUAAAUGAUUUUUUUUGCUAAUUGUGUGUAUGGGUAAAUCUGCAAGAUGAUGCAAAAAAUUGCUUGCAGAUAGUCUGUAUGUGUACACAGAUGCUUCUAAGCAGUGCUCUAGCAGAAUAGUGCUCCCCUUUCCUUACUGUUGUUGCUAAAUAUUUGUUUUUUGUGGCAUAUGAGGACUGAACAGUAUCAGGCCAUCGACCUCACCCUGGGAGUCCACUUCUUCACGGUCACGACAUCCACCUUGACAUCCCUAUUUUGUGUUGUUUAGUUGCAUGUGGUUCAUGCAAACUUCCUGAAGCAUUUUAUUGAAAUUGGAUAGAACUGAGAAAAUCUAUGUAUACGUACAAUUUUGUUUUCCUUUUUCUAGCAGUUGAGUUCCAGAGACGAAUGGGGAUUGGGGAGGUGAACUUUGAGCUGGAACUCUCUAUGUGUUCUUGCAAUCAUAAUGCCGGGGGAUUAUAAGACAACAUACAGUUUGUUCAUUUUCUUUUGGAGGUAUGUGAACAUUGAUUCAUAUGAUUAGUCGGUACUUAAGAACAGGGAUACCCACACUUUACAUGAUAAUCCAAAAGUUCAGAUUUUAACUAAAGAUGUUAAGCUAUGAGGAGAACCUUAUUGGCUCAGCCAUCAUAUUUUGUUUUAGGUAGGUAAUCAUUAGUUCAUAUUGCUGAGCAGGCAAAGCCAUGGUGUACGAAUGGCUCAAGCUAUUCUGAUAUUUGAUAUAGAUUUAAAUGACCAGGAGAGCCUAAAAAUAGUACUAUGCGGAAAUGCAGGGAAGACCUAAUAUGUUCUCAUUUGAGAAAAAUAAAACUCCCUACUUUCCAACUAUUGAUUUCAUUUGUACAUGUAAAAGAAACUAUAUUAGACAAAUAUAUGAUUGAUCAGGUUCAAUGAAGGUUAGCUUAAAUACCAUGUAUUUUUCUGCACAAAAAUUACUGCCUAUUGUAUGCCAUCCUCUUUACAUUUGUUAGUCUAUAGUCAAGUACAAAAAUAAAAUUAGUUCAGUAAUGCCUUUGCUCCAUACGAGCAAACAGUUGUUGUUAAUAAAAGGAAAACAGACUAUUGAUUUCAUUAGUUUGCAGGAAAAUCACUGUAUUUUAACACUUAUGCAAAACGAACUUUAAAUCACGAGAAAUGUUGAUUUUUUAAUAAAAUAUCUUGAGGGUGAGAGAAUUUUCAGCAAAUUCAAAGGAAUAGCUAAAGUACCAUAUAUAGAGGGUGACACAUGUGGUAAUUAACAUAACAUGGAUCUUGCCUUAAUUUUCUUAUUCAAGGAGUACAAUUUGUGUAGGAAAGUCAUUAGAAAUGAGUGCUAUCAUUUGUCAUACCAUGGAAGUACGUUUUGAAGUUUUCUUACUGUAAAGAUUUUUCUUCAACAUUUAUGAGUUGGCUAGCAAAAUUAUGGUAACUGCAAUUCACAUCAGGUAUAAGGCGACACAUAGGGCCGUCAUCUAGGUGCAUACAUCUUAAUCUCAUUUUCAGUGACGGUUGCUUUGCUAUCUUAUAAAUUGAUUAUGGCAGAAUGUAGAAACCAUGUGGUGCUUGUGGCGUUUUUUUUCCUGUUAUUAUAGAUAUGUUCCGAGCAAUUUAAGGAUUCUUUUUGUAAAGUUCAUCGUGCUUAGGGUACAAUAUUUGCAGUAUAAUUUCUACUAAAACCAUCAUUCUGUACGCCUUUUCUUUCCCUACUUUUCGUACAGCAAACUGAUGGAUCGACUAACCACAAACUUAGCAUGUGGUAUGCAACAUGCUUAGUACAGCGCCUUCUAACCAUGCAAUAGCAGUUCCCACUCCAUGCUACUAUUAUGUACACAGACGGGAAGUUUGUUUGAGAAAGAGGAGUAUGUUUCUACUAUUUCCUAUGUGGAACUAACAAUUCACGCCUCUAGCUUCUACUCCCUUUGUAAACUAAUAUAAGAGCGUUUAGAUUACUAAAGUAGUGAUCUAAACGCUUUUAUAUUAGUUUACGGAGGGAGUACUACUUUAUCGUUUUGCACAAAAGCUUUUAUAACCAUGAUGCUGAUAAAUAUGUGAUAGGUACUUCACGUGCUACCACAUUAGUAGGGUGAUUUCAAUAAGAGUACCAGAAUUUAUAUUCUUCUGCAUUAAGAUAAUAUUCACUAACGGAGUUCUAUUUUUUUUUACAAACCAGUUCAUUCGCCGCGAGGAAAAAAUCUACUUGCUGCCUGAGAACCAAAGCCACAAUAGAUCAAGUUACUUGGUCGGAAGAAAUUGUCAAGGGCUGCAGCUUACACAUGAUCGGGGGUGGCGAUCUUAGUCUAUCUCACCUGAGUUACAUGUUAUAAAAAAUAGUAUAGAUGUAGAACAACCUACAGUAUAAUUGUACGUCUCAACUAUCUGUCAUAUGUCUUACUAACAUACCUUUUUUUGAACCGGUCUUAUUAUUAUAUUUUUUUGAAGCGGUCUUACUAUUAUACUCCCUCCGUUUCCAAAUAUAUGUCUUUCUAGAGAUUCCAAUAAGUGACUACAUAUGGAGCAAAGUGAGCGAAUCUAUACUCUAAAAUAUGUCUACAUAUAUCCGUAUGUUAUAGUUCAUUUGAAAUGUUUAAAAAGACUUAUAUUUAGGAACGAAUACUUUGUAGUGCUUAUAAUUAAUGAGUGAUAGAUUCUUAGGUGUACUACUGUUGAUGUGACCAAGGAUGUCCAGUUUUACUUGAUAUUGAGUACUGCAACUUCAAAGCUUCUUCAACAUCCGUUUGCUUAUUUCAUUUUUGUGGAAUUAAAUUAUAAUAAAAAUUUAUUC